UGACCAAAGUAGAAUUUCGAUCACAAGGC
rnacentral:sRNA from 1 species